rnacentral:tRNA from 1 species
GGGCGAUUAGCUCAGUUGGUUAGAGCGCCUCCCUUACAAGGAGGAUGUCGGGGGUUCGAGUCCCUCAUCGCCCACCA